rnacentral:lncRNA from 1 species
AUGCUAUGGGGCACAUGGACAGCCCUAUGGGGUGUGAUGCUAUGGGGCACAGUGUGCUAUGGGGCACGAUGCUAUGGGGCACAUGGACAGCCCUAUGGGGUGUGAUGAUGUGGGGUGUGAUGCUAUGGGGCACAUGGACAGCUCUAUGGGGCACAUGGUGUUAUGGGGCACGUGGUGCUAUGGGGCACUAGGUCAGCUCUAUAGGGCACGUGUUGAUGUGGGGCACAUGGACAACUAUGGGGCAUGUGUGCUAUGGGGCAAAGGGUGGGCACUGUGGGGCAGGAGGAUGGCGCUAUGGGGCAGGAAAAUGACGCUAUGGGGCACAGGAAUGCUGCUAUGGGGCAGGAGGAUGGUGCUAUGGGGUGCAGGAAUGGCGCUAUGGGGCAGAAAGAUGAUGCUAUGUGGCAAGAUGGCGCUAUGGGGCACAGGAAUGGCACUAUGGGGCAGGAGGAUGGCGCUAUGGGGCACAGGAAUGGCGCUAUGGGGCAGGAGGAUGGCGCUAUGGGGUAGGAGAAUGGAGCUAUGGUGCAGGAGGAUGGUGCUAUGGGGCACGGGGAUGGCGCUAUGGGGUAGGAAGAUGACGCUAUGGGGCAGGAGGAUGGCACUAUGGGGUGCAGGAAUGGCGCUAUGGGGCAGGAAGAUGAUGCUAUGUGGCAGGAUGGCGCUAUGGGGCACAGGAAUGGCGCUAUGGGGCAGGAGAAUGGAGCUAUGGGGCAGGAGGAUGGCGCUAUGGGGCACGUGGAUGGCACUAUGGGGUAGGAAGAUGACGCUAUGGGGCAGGAGGAUGGCACUAUGGGGCA